AAAGUAGACGAGGUGGUCGUCGGUUUCUACUAUUCUCAGGAAUAGUGGGGACGGGAGGAAAGUCCGAGCUCCACAGGACACAGUGCUCCGUAACGCGGAGUCCCGGUGACGGGAAGGAAAGUACAACAGAAAAUAUACCGUCCCACUAUUUUGCGGGAUAAGGGUGAAAUGGUGGAGUAAGAGCCCACCGCUCCAAUGGUGACAUUGGGGGCAUGGCAAACCCCACUGGGAGAAAGGCUAAAUAGAGAGGGAUGAAGCGGUCCGCUUCGCUAACACCUCCGGGUAAGCCGUUUGAUCUCGCUGGCAACAACGAGGCUAGUUAAAUGAUCACCCACGACAGAACUCGGCUUAUUGUCUACUUAAACG
rfam:Planctomycetes bacterium GWC2_39_26 gwc2_scaffold_9808, whole genome shotgun sequence.